GUGAGGAGCCCCUCCGCCCGGCAGCUGCCCUGUCUGGCCAUAGACUCUCCAACUCCUGCAACUGUCUGGAAUUUCUUCUCUCUCCAAUCCAUCUCUAGUAUUGAUGACAUAGGUAACUUUCCACAAGUCACACCAUACCAAGUGCUUUACAUCACCUGUUUACGUACUUAUCAAAUGGCAAUAUAGAUUACAGAUAUAUAUAUAAACACACACGUAUAUAUCGGGUAUGUCUACUUGGUAUUUUAGGGGAAAAAACGGGUGCUGAUACAUAGAUGGAAGACAUUUUCUGAUUCCAAUUUGGGAAAAAUAGUCUAUCUUUGGUCAGGUCUUUUUUUUAAUAGCUUUACUGAGGCGGUUUUCUAAUUUUAAAUAAUCAAGCAUACACAACAAACAGUGUAAUGACUAAGGUUCUUGGCAUACCAUAGGAAACCAUAACCCGGCUCCAACCCACACUGCCAUUCUCAUCUCUACAGUCUCAUUCCCGCUUGCGUUCUCAUCACCCAGCACAUUACGUCAGGGUAUGUUUAACACUCAAAAAUCCACAAGUCUGUUCUUGACAUGAAUGAGAAUCUCAUUUCUUUCAAAAUGCUAUAGUCUCUAGUUACAGAAGGAGCCUGAUCAAAACAACCACCAAAAGUCUUCCACUCACAGCAGUUCGGAGCCGAAAAGUUGCGGAAAUGAGGCCCAGCAACGGUCCCUGGCUUUGAUUUGCCAAAAUGCUCUGGAAGCCGCAGCGUCGGCGCCUGCCCACCACUGCUUCUUCAGGGGUUUCUUCAGUUUGACAAAUUACCAGCGAGUGAUAUUUCUUGGUGAAAGAAAAAAAUCACAACCCUAGAGGAAUAAGGUGGCAGGGAGAGUGUUUUGGCCAAGAUGCCCGCCACGAAACAGGAAAGCGGAGACAGCGCCAACUGUAACCACUAAGAGAAAGCGCAAACCGCACAAGACCAGUUCAAAACCAGCGCCCUCAGGGAGCCGCUUCAGAGCUCCGCAACAGGGAAGACAGGAAGUCCCGCCCCUCCACAACAGGAAGGGCCGGAAGUCCCGCCCCUCCACUCCGGAGGCUGCCCUCGCUGCGUUCCCUACGAAGGGCGGAGCAGGAAUUGGUGUAGGAAGGGGACGGGUGUUUCCUUGUUCGGAAUGGGGUUGGCUCCUCUUUGAUUUUUUACUUCUGGUGACCCACGCAAAAGCAGUCCCGACCUGGUUGUAUUAAUAAUAAAGGCUGUAAGGAUCAGCCUUUUGAACGGUCCAGCCGAGAACUAACCACAGAGCGCGUUUUAGUGGAGUGGUACUUAUUUUUAAAUAAGGUAAAAAACGAUUAUACUUCAGUAAAGCUGUUUAGAAAAAAAAAAACUUGGCCAAAGAUGGAGAACUCUUCCUAAUUUGGUAUCAGAAAAUAGGUCGUCUAUGUAUCUGCACCUUUUUUCCUUAUAAAGUGGCAAAUAAAUGUGUCUGCUAUAUUUAUUGCCACUAAACAAGUGUUUAUGGAACACUCACUGUGUGUUUAGGCAUAGUGGGGAUAAAGCAGGGAAGGUGGCCCAGUUCUUUGCGGGUGAGGAUCAGAGCUAGAGAUUAACUGGAAAGAAAGAAUAAACAAUCAUUUAUUACAGUUGUGAGUGUUUCUAAGAUAAAAUACAGAGGUUUGUGAGAGCAUAGAGAGGCAUACCUUGUUUUAUUGUGCAUUUUAUUGUGCUUUGCAGAUACUGAGUUUACUACAAAUGGAAGGUUUGAGGCAACCUUGAUGGAGCAAGUGUAUGGGUGCCAUGUUUUUCCAACAUCAUGUGCUCACUUUGUGUCUCUGACAUAUUUUGUCUGGAACGGAACUAGCAAUAUCUCCAUGGAAUACCUGUAAUGAGCAGAUUUAACCUAAGAUGAGAAAAUAUUUCCACUGAAGUUUGAAAUUUAAGUACGUGUUAGCCAGGUAAAGUAGGGGGAAAAGUAUUUCAAGCAGAGGUUAAAGUCCCUGUGUUAAGGCUGUGAGGCCCAAGGGAAGGAGCUUUCCCUUUAAAAAGGACUGAAAGAAAGCAAAUGUGGUUUAAGCAUGGUUAGGGAGGAAAGAGGCCUGAAGGGGAGGGAAUCCUGGAGUGGGAUACAGAGGUAGGCAGGCAGAGUACAGAACAUUAGGGAUUUAUGGACUCAAGAUUUAUAUUCUCUGACACCAAAUUAGGAAAAAAAGAGGUCUCUAUUUUUGGCCAAGUUGUGUGUGUGUGUGUGUGUGUGUGUGUGUGUGUGU
rnacentral:lncRNA from 1 species